GGGGACCUCCUCCAUUCUUAUCCACUUCCUCUUCAACCUGUACGCAUGAGAGAGAGAGAGGGAAAGGAAGAGAAAAGGAAAGAAGAGAAGUGAGGAUCUUCAACUACUCGACGAGCCGAUCAAUCCUCCGCGUGUGUUGGAUUUUUCCGGCGCUUCGACUGCGAAGAUCCGAAUUUUGUGGGAUUUCGUCGAAGGAAUUUUCAGCCAUUUUGGGAGUGUUGUGGCUGCCAUGCGGAUUGAGUGGAGUUGGUGUUGGGCUGUGAGGAAGCUCAAGAACAGGUAAAAUCUGGUGGAGAGUAAAUUCGGAGGUGAGAGUAUUAUAUCUAUGUGAACUUGUAUUAUGUGUAUAGCAUGUGUGUGGGCUGUUGGUUAGAGAUAAAAACCUGAGGUAGGUUUGUUGUUUUCUUGCUAAGGUUAUGGUAAUUACUCUCCCAAAAGGGGUUUAAGCAAUAGAAUUCCUGGAUUUUACAGCUUGUAGAUGCUAUGUGAACUUAGAAACCAUACUAUGGACAGCAUAGUUGAGAAUUGUUGAUGGGAAAUGAAACUUGAGAUAAACUUGGGUUGUUACUUUA